CCAGACUACAGGUUAGUGCUGUGAGAAGAUUCCAGACUGCAGGUUAGUGCUGUGAGAAGAUUCUAGACUGCAGGUUAGUGCUGUGAGAAGAUUCCAGACUGCAGGUUAGUGCUGUGAGAAGAUUCCAGACUGCAGGUUAGUGCUGUGAGAAGAUUCCAGACUGCAGGUUAGUGCUGUGAGAAGAUUCUAGACUGCAGGUUAGUGCUGUGAGAAGAUUCUAGACUGCAGGUUAGUGCUGUGAGAAGAUUCUAGACUGCAGGUUAGUGCUGUGAGAAGAUUCUAGACUGCAGGUUAGUGCUGUGAGAAGAUUCUAGACUGCAGGUUAGUGCUGUGAGAAGAUUCUAGACUGCAGGUUAGUGCUGUGAGAAGAUUCUAGACUGCAGGUUAGUGCUGUGAGAAGAUUCUAGACUGCAGGUUAGUGCUGUGAGAAGAUUCUAGACUACAGGUUAGUGCUGUGAGAAAGUUCCUCUAGAUUACAGGAGGACUAUAUGACUGUCUCCCCAUAUUCCCAUCAUGACUGCACAUAUAGCCUACAGUCUAGAUGAGUUAGUUAAAUGCAUUGUACAUUCUAUUCUGUUUUUAAA